ACUCAAAUGAAUUGACGGGGGCCCGCACAAGCAGCGGAGCAUGUGGUUUAAUUCGAAGCAACGCGAAGAACCUUACCUAGACUUGACAUCUCCUGAAUUACCUUUAAUCGGGGAAGUCCCUUCGGGGACAGGAAGACAGGUGGUGCAUGGUUGUCGUCAGCUCGUGUCGUGAGAUGUUGGGUUAAGUCCCGCAACGAGCGCAACCCUUAUUGUUAGUUGCUACCAUUUAGUUGAGCACUCUAGCGAGACUGCCCGGGUUAACCGGGAGGAAGGUGGGGAUGACGUCAAAUCAUCAUGCCCCUUAUGUCUAGGGCUACACACGUGCUACAAUGGUCGGUACAGAGAGAUGCUAAACCGUGAGGUGGAGCCAAACUUUAAAACCGAUCUCAGUUCGGAUUGUAGGCUGAAACUCGCCUACAUGAAGCUGGAGUUGCUAGUAAUCGCGAAUCAGAAUGUCGCGGUGAAUACGUUCCCGGGCCUUGUACACACCGCCCGU
rnacentral:rRNA from 1 species